rnacentral:tRNA from 1 species
GCAGGUGUAGUUCAAUGGUAGAACAUUAGCCUUCCAAGCUAAUUACGAGAAGACCGCGGGUUCGAUUCCCGUCAGAUCCG